rnacentral:rRNA from 1 species
GAUGAACGCUGGCGGCGUGCCUAAUACAUGCAAGUCGAGCGAACGGACGAGAAGCUUGCUUCUCUGAUGUUAGCGGCGGACGGGUGAGUAACACGUGGAUAACCUACCUAUAAGACUGGGAUAACUUCGGGAAACCGGAGCUAAUACCGGAUAAUAUUUUGAAACGCAUGGUUCAAAAGUGAAAGACGGUCUUGAUGUCACUUAUAGAUGGAUCCGCGCUGCAUUAGCUAGUUGGUAAGGUAACGGCUUACCAAGGCAACGAUGCAUAGCCGACCUGAGAGGGUGAUCGGCCACACUGGAACUGAGACACGGUCCAGACUCCUACGGGAGGCAGCAGUAGGGAAUCUUCCGCAAUGGGCGAAAGCCUGACGGAGCAACGCCGCGUGAGUGAUGAAGGUCUUCGGAUCGUAAAACUCUGUUAUUAGGGAAGAACAUAUGUGUAAGUAACUGUGCACAUCUUGACGGUACCUAAUCAGAAAGCCACGGCUAACUACGUG